rnacentral:rRNA from 1 species
UACAGAGGUCUCAAGCGUUGUUCGGAUUCAUUGGGCGUAAAGGGUGCGUAGGCGGCGCGGUAAGUCGGGUGUGAAAUCUUGGAGCUUAACUCCGAAACUGCAUUCGAUACUGCCGUGCUUGAGGACUGGAGAGGAGACUGGAAUUUACGGUGUAGCAGUGAAAUGCGUAGAGAUCGUAAGGAAGACCAGUGGCGAAGGCGGGUCUCUGGAAAGUUCCUGACACUGAGGCACGAAGGCCAGGGGAGCAAACGGG